GAUGAACGCUGGCGGCGUGCCUAAUACAUGCAAGUCGAACGGACGGACGCUGAGCUUGCGUUUCUGAUGUUAGCGGCGGAGGGGAGUGACACACGUGUAUAACCUACCUAUAAGACGGGGAUAACUUCGGGAAACCGGAGCUAACACCGGAGGAUAUUUUGAACCGCGGGGUUGAAAAGUGAAAGACGGUCGUGCUGGCACGUAUAGAGGGAUCCGCGCUGCAUUAGCGAGUUGGUAAGGUAACGGCUUACCAAGGCAACGAUGCAUAGCCGACCUGGGAGGGUGAUCGGCCACACUGGAACUGAGACACGGUCCAGACUCCUACGGGAGGCAGCAGUAGGGAAUCUUCCGCAAUGGGCGAAAGCCUGACGGAGCAACGCCGCGUGGGUGAUGAAGGUCUUCGGAUCGUAAAACUCUGUUAUUAGGGAAGAACAUAUGUGUAAGUAACUGUGCACAUCUUGACGGUACCUAAUCAGAAAGCCACGGCUAACUACGUG
rnacentral:rRNA from 1 species